CCUACGGAGGGCUGUAGUGGGGAAUAUUGGACAAUGGGGGGAACCCUGAUCCAGCCAUGCCGCGUGUGUGAAGAAGGCCCUCGGGUUGUAAAGCACUUUCAGUGAGGAAGAACGCCUGGUGGUUAAUACCCAUCAGGAAAGACAUCACUCACAGAAGAAGCACCGGCUAACUCCGUGCCAGCAGCCGCGGUAAUACGGAGGGUGCGAGCGUUAAUCGGAAUUACUGGGCGUAAAGCGCGCGUAGGUGGCUUGAUAAGCCGGUUGUGAAAGCCCCGGGCUCAACCUGGGAACGGCAUCCGGAACUGUCAAGCUAGAGUGCAGGAGAGGAAGGUAGAAUUCCCGGUGUAGCGGUGAAAUGCGUAGAGAUCGGGAGGAAUACCAGUGGCGAAGGCGGCCUUCUGGACUGACACUGACACUGAGGUGCGAAAGCGUGGGUAGCAAACAGGAUUAGAUAUCCCGGUAGUC
rnacentral:rRNA from 1 species